GGCGCCAUGGCUUAGUUGGAAAAGCGCCUGUCUAGUAAACAGGAUAUCCUGGGUUCAAAUCCCAGUGGUGCCU
rnacentral:tRNA from 1 species